rnacentral:rRNA from 1 species
GAUGAACGCUGGCGGCGUGCCUAAUACAUGCAAGUCGAGCGAACGGACGAGAAGCUUGCUUCUCUGAUGUUAGCGGCGGACGGGUGAGUAACACGUGGAUAACCUACCUAUAAGACUGGGAUAACUUCGGGAAACCGUAGCUAAUACCGGAUAAUAUUUUGAACCGCAUGGUUCAAAAGUGAAAGACGGUCUUGCUGUCACUUAUAGAUGGAUCCGCGCUGCAUUAGCUAGUUGGUAAGGUAACGGCUUACCAAGGCGACGAUGCAUAGCCGACCUGAGAGGGUGAACGGCCACACUGGAACUGAGACACGGUCCAGACUCCUACGGGAGGCAGCAGUAGGGAAUCUUCCGCAAUGGGCGAAAGCCUGACGGAGCAACGCCGCGUGAGUGAUGAAGGUCUUCGGAUCGUAAAACUCUGUUAUUAGGGAAGAACAUAUGUGUAAGUAACUGUGCACAUCUUGACGGUACCUAAUCAGAAAGCCACGGCUAACUACGUG